CAGCCGCCGCGGUAAAACGGAGGGUGCAAGCGUUAAUCGGAAUUACUGGGCGUAAAGCGCACGCAGGCGGUUUGUUAAGUCAGAUGUGAAAUCCCCGAGCUUAACUUGGGAACUGCAUUUGAAACUGGCAAGCUAGAGUCUUGUAGAGGGGGGUAGAAUUCCAGGUGUAGCGGUGAAAUGCGUAGAGAUCUGGAGGAAUACCGGUGGCGAAGGCGGCCCCCUGGACAAAGACUGACGCUCAGGUGCGAAAGCGUGGGGAGCAAACAGGAUUAGAUACCCCAGUAGUCCCUGUCUCUUAUAC
rnacentral:rRNA from 1 species